GAUGAACGCUAGCUACAGGCUUAACACAUGCAAGUCGAGGGGUAACAAGAGAAAAGCUUGCUUUUCUUGUUGACGACCGGCGCACGGGUGAGUAACGCGUAUCCAACCUGCCCAUAACUAGGGAAUAACCUUGCGAAAGUAAGACUAAUACCCUAUAAUUUCCUUUGACGGCAUCUGACGAGGAAUAAAGAUUUAUCGGUUAUGGAUGGGGAUGCGUCUGAUUAGCUUGUUGGCGGGGUAACGGCCCACCAAGGCAACGAUCAGUAGGGGUUCUGAGAGGAAGGUCCCCCACAUUGGAACUGAGAUACGGUCCAAACUCCUACGGGAGGCAGCAGUGAGGAAUAUUGGUCAAUGGGCGGAAGCCUGAACCAGCCAAGUAGCGUGCAGGAUGACGGCCCUAUGGGUUGUAAACUGCUUUUAUACAGGAAUAAAGAUAGCCACGUGUGGUUAUUUGUAGGUACUGUAUGAAUAAGGACCGGCUAAUUCCGUGCCAGCAGCCGCCGUAA
rnacentral:rRNA from 1 species